CGUAUAAUCACGGUUCUGCCCUAGACCGUAGGUGUGGCGCGAGCCGCUUAAUUUCCUACCGAGGCAAUUCGUAAGUGAAGGACGUGUGGAUCCUUCCUGCCUUGGCGAUUUUGAAGGGCAGGGAGGAUUUUUCUUUUGCCGA
rfam:Actinobacteria bacterium 13_2_20CM_2_66_6 13_2_20cm_2_scaffold_4346, whole genome shotgun sequence.